UUUUUUGAUGAUGCGACUCGAUUUAGGAUUUAUGAGCAUGAUCUAACGGACGGCGGAGCACCCCCAACAUGAAACAAGUGCCGCGUUGGUUUAGAGCACAACUCGAUGGUAGAGUGAGAAAGUGUGGUGGGAUAGUUGGGAGG
ensembl:ncRNA C04C11.5 ncRNA